rnacentral:lncRNA from 1 species
GCUGCUCCCUCCUGCUCUCCCAGCGGCUCUGUGGUGGCUGCUCAGGAACUGGAGCAAGCCAGACUGCCCCUGACCUCCUCCCACCUGUCCCUGCUGUCCUGCAGUCCUCUGGCCACACCGUCUGCUCCAUCACCCUCUAGGGCCCCAGCCAGUGACUGGGGACUGGGGUGCUCCCCCUCACUCUGCAUGUCGCCCAACACAGGUGCCCACGGCCAGCCUCUGCUUCUUCACACAGGGACUACUGCACUGAGCUCCUGGGCAGCCCCUGUCCCCCGUCCCCAGCCCACAGUCCUCAGCAUCGGCUGUCCUCAGCACUGUUGGAUGGACCUGUGGCCAGCUUUACCCUGGCAGCUAGGACCCUCCCUCCUCACCCUGGACCCACAAGGCCCCAGCCUCAUGCUGGCCCCGUGGGCAUCCCGCCUGCCACCUGCUGAGCUUCCCUGGGGUUUUCCUCCUGGCAUCAACUGGAUGAGGAAGAUGGACAGCUCAGGUACCCAGGACACCUUUUCUGGAACUGGCUGCCAGGGAGGGUCUCCAUUCUCGUGUCGUGACCCUCUCACUAGGCUUUGAGGUGUUGUCUGGCCCAGUUCAGUGCUGUGCCCCUGGGCACCUCCCAGACCUCCAGCAUCCCCUUCCUUGGUCAGGAAGGGCCAUUUGCCUUUGUCCUUAACAGACGCAGAGCCCCUAGGGGACUCAGCCUGAGACUGGGAGUGCCCGGGGUGCAGUGUCCAUUUCUUCCCCAGCUCAUACAGCAUCGGCCUCCCCCAGAGAGAGGUGAGCGGGGCAGACCCUGUCCCUGUCUUGUGCCCACAGCUGGUUCUUGCUCACUCUCUUUCUUAGCUCCACGUCCUGCCUGCCAGGACCCUUUCCUAAAGAGAGUUCCUCCCGUCGUCCUCUGAGAUCGCCAACGCACAGUCUGCCGCUUUGGGCCAGGGAGCUGCCUUAGUCAGCUAACCAAACACCGCAGGCCAGGUGGCUCACAGGACAGUCUGGUGACUCUCAGACCUGGCUUUCUCAGGUGCCAGCGCUGGCGUCUGGUGAGGCCCCUGCCUGGCUUGUAGAAGGCCAGCUUCCUGCUGUGUCUGUACAGACAGCCACCUCUGCUAUCCUGUUUCUAGAGGGCCACCGUCUACUGGACCAGGACACCCCAUCCCUUCAUUCAGC